UAAUUCUUUAUACCUAAUUUCUGUAUGUUUCAUAUUUGUAAAUGUGCUAAACUUAAGUAGGUAAAACCAUAAAAAAAUUGAAGAAAAAACUAAAAUAGUUUCUUCCUUUUAAUUUGAUGAGGUGUAGCUUAAUCAUAGAUAUUGCAACUUUGUCGGCUUGUUUAUUUUCAUUUCCGGUGAAUUCCAUGAUUUGUUCACUUGGAAAGUUUAGAUGACGAAUUUAUAAGGGAACUUUCUGAGCAUUUUUGGAUACUGAAGUAUGCUAUGUAUUAUGUAUUGCCAUUCUACUGAGAGUGAUAAUGCAAGUUGGAGGGAGCUUGGAACAGAUUAUAGUUGAAUUUUCUUUUCUUUGUUUUUUUUUGGGUAAAUAAGACAUGCAAGUUGAAGGAAACUUGGAGUAGAUGAUAAGUUGUUUUCUUCUGGUAAGCAACAAAUGCAUUUUAUUCAACAUCAAAAGAAUCUACCAUCAUAAUCUCAAGUCAGUUUCCAUCUACCUAAGAAGAUUGUGAAAGAGGUGGAAUGCUAUGCAGGAAAUACUUAUGGGGAAGCCCUGACUGCAGAUAAUGCAUGUCUGACUGAGUAGAAACAAGCACACAAGCCUUAUGGUGACACGGAUUUGGCAUAAAAUUUAUCCUGGAAUUGAAAAUGAAUCAGCAAUGAAAAGUAUAUGAAACCUUUUUUCAGAUUUGUGUAUCCAUAAUAUGAAAUUGAUAUAUGCAAACAAUUGGAAUCACAACCAACAGAGCAUUCAAGUUGUGUUUGGAAGAAAAUUGUAGAAGUCAGGGAAGCAUCAAGGGAGCUCAGGAUUUAUAAAAUGGGAAAUGGCAAAUUUAUUUUUCCUAUUUUUGGGAUGGUACAUGUUACCUGAUGGAACUCUGGCAAGUACGUGUUUCCUUUUUAGACGUGGUGAAUUUUGAUGUUGCAGAAAAUGUCAAGUAUCAGCUGUUAUUAUCAAUGGUAAAUGGCAACCCCCUGUAGUUAUCGAUCAAUCUUUUUAUAAUUUAUAGGAGGAAAUCAGAAAGCUAAAGCUUUCCAAAUAAACUGAAAACUUGCAGCAGAAGCAAUGAUGAUACCACCCGGUGGCGGGCGGUGACGAUCGAAGAAAUGCUUGUAACAGUACGGUACGAAACUCGGAUCUCUAGAUUCUCCUCUUCUUCUCCAUCUUCUUUCUUCUCCCUCGGCUAAUACCAUCCGGUAGCAGGCGAUGACGACCGAUUUAGGAUGGUAACAGGACGGAAACAAUCCCAAUCGACGGUACUGCCCGGUAGCUGGCGGUCCGCAUACUGGUCUGCUAGCGGAUCGGUACAUACCGCCCGAUACGGGCGGUAUUAUUCAAAAUUAAAAUCCUUAAUUAAAAUGAUGAGAGAUUGUCGCUUUAUGUUAAAUUACUUAAGAAGAGGUAUUUAGUUCUCGAUGUACAUUUUCUGAGAGCAAUUUAAAACCAUUCAGCAUGUUUUUGACUGUCUCAUUACUGCUAGUAUAUAGGGUAAGUCACUGAUUUACAAAAGUCAAUAGGUGGUCUAUGGCUCCAGAGCAGGAUAUUAUAUGGAUCUAUGAGCAACACAGAGGUAAAUAUUUGAUAUUUUGUUCAAGGAAAAGUUUAUAUCCAGCUGUAGUCUGUCAAAUCUGGACCAAGAAAUAGUAGGAUCUUCAAGCAGCAAUUACUGACAAGAAAAUUCUAACAAAGGUGAAUAUGGAAGUGGUCAAGUUCUCUGUUGAUUCUUCUGUUCAAGAUAAUUUUUUGGGACUGAGAAUAUUUGGAAUGUUUGACCUUGCCUAAUCAGGGUUAUUGUAUCUGAAAAAAUUAGAUAGGUAGCUGAGGAUUGAGUUAGUUCAACUUUUAACUAUCUAAUACUAUGAACUGUGUAUCAUUUGCAUAUGGAAAGCUGGAUAGAUAACUAAGCUGCAGUUGAAUGAGGGGUGUAUGGUUGAUCUUAAAACAUUGUCAGGAUGUAUUUUUCAUAUGUUUCUAGAAUAAAAUGUUUUAAUUGAUCGCCACUUGCUUAUGUCCAAAGAAACCAGGUCUCCUCACUUAAACUUCAUCAUAUAUGGCAAAAUAUUAGUUUAUAGCCAUUUACUUAUAUAAGUAAAAAUAGUCCUUUUAUUUAAUUCAAACUAGAAAUUCUGACUUUUAACUCGCAUUCAAGCACCACACAGAUGAUAUUUUCUUGCAGCCCAAAUCUUUCCUAAAAUAUACCAGAUACCACUGUUAUUCACAUUAAUGAAUGGUCAGCAAAACAAUGUACUCUAGGUCUCUGAAUUUUUGAACUAAGGGGCCUAUUGGCUAAUACUUCCUUCCCAAACAAUAUUACACCUCAGUAUUAUAAACGAACAUAGACAUCCCUCAUAUCAGAGUUGAGUGCCUAUGGAAGAAUCAGAAACUAUCUCACGGACUCAAAACUUAGAAUUAUCUGGAUUAAAUACAAUCCAGUAAGUUUGUUUUAAUUACUAGGACUCAGAUUAAACUAACUUGACUUGAACCUAGAUCUGACUAACUUUGUUCUAUAACACCAAUUCAUUUCAGAAAUAUAUCAGAAUCGAUUUUUCUGUAGAUAAUGUUGAUAAAUUAUUGUUUCUAUUUUUCAUGGUGCUUGAUGGAGGCUUUCUUUUCUCGAGUUGUAUAGCUGACCAAUUUAUCUCUGUUUUCCUGCAGUGCUUCCAUGAUCCAUAUACUGGAUCCAGAUUUUGUUCAAAGAAAGAGGUACUUCAGCAUCUAAAGUCUGGAAAAUUUCGUGGUUCCCCAACCAAACAGACAAGGAGCAUCACCACAAGAUCUAUGGAAAAACUUUGUGCAUCAACCAAUUUGGAAGAAGAAAACAAGACAAACUCUGCCAAAAAUGUUUGCUCUCAGCAAACUCUCCUAAAUUAACUGUGUUUCUUGUUCUGGCUACAUCUUGUGCAUUCAGUUAAUAACUAAUCAAUUCCCAUGAGAUGAAAAAUUCUGACUUUAGCUUGUGAAUAAGUGCAGGAUCAAAUUGAGAAUACUCCAUAUGAGUUGCCUCAUGGCUGGAUCAAAGAGAUCAGAUUAAGAAACUCUGGAACAAAAAUAAAAAAGGAUCCGGUACUCCACCAUACAACAUUGGCUUUUACUUCUAUAUUGUGAUAACCUGUCAUUUUAUGAGAAGAUGAAAAUAAUCUAAUGUCUUUAUUUUGAGGUAGACAGUAGAUUCUUGGCAUUGCACAAUUUUGCACCUAUGUUUCUACUUACAGCUACCUAUAAUAUUACGCCUUUUUAAUUGAGAACACUUCCUACGCAACUUGGAGUCAACUUCAUCACAUCUUCUUCAGAAUUCAAAAAGUUUUCCUAUUUUGUUGCCUGAGCAUAAUAUUUAUACAAUUGAGGAAAGUGUUGCAGUUCCUUCAGUUGUUAAUCGUUUCUCCAAAAUGAGUCUGCUCCAUGUUACCAAGUCUUCCUCUUUUAAGCUACAUUCUUAACAAAUAAUCGGUGACCUUACAUGGCUUCUGGCCAAAUGUUUAUUGACCAAAUUGGGAUAAACUCUAUACUAAGUAAUAGGGGCAAAUAUCAACUACCAAACAUCUUAGACUAAGUAUUUGAGACUGAAUAUAUUUAGUGCAACUUUAGUGAAUCCAAGAGUUGAAGGUAUAGUUGAAGUAGAUGGUAAAGAAAUUUCAAGGUAAGUUUUUGAUAUCUUGGACUUAGAUUCAUGUUUCACUACCACAUCCAAUUUCUCCGGUGAUUGGCAUGGCACAUGCUACCAACCUCGCAUGGAAAAUGUCGUGUCACUAUGAGGUGUGAACAGCUAGAAAAGAAAACCAAGGAAGCCCACAAUUUCCUGAAAGAUACCCAUGCAUUGCUGGUUUUCCUUCCUUCCCUCCUUUUCUUCAGCAUCUCCUUUCCAGAGCUGGCGGCAUUGCAUAGUGAGGCGUAGUCAGGCAAGAAGCGAUAAAUGUGAUUCAAUGAUGUCAAGCUUUUGAAGCCCUAUGCAAACCAGUUCAAGCUUCCCUUAAUCAGGUCGCAGAAUCUCAUCAGCUCAGUUAUUGAAACUUAGAUCAUUAAUCUUGGACCUAUAUUUUAGUAGAAAGGUGAGAUCUAAGGUUGAAAUUCCUUUAUUAAUGCUAAAACAAUAGUUGCAAGCCAUAACCUAGAGGGUUAUGGUCCUUGGUAGGACUAAAAUACUUUUUGAUGCUAUUAAUUGCAAUACUGGAUAUUAGAAUCUAUUUCAAACCCUUUUCCUUAUUUACUAGUUGUGCAGAUUUCUGUUAAUUGUAAUAAUCCUAGCCUGUGAAAAAUUGACAUGACCAAGCCAUCUUUUUUCUUCAAUAUAAUUUGUUGUAACCUUAGACUUUCUAAUUUGGUAUAGUUUCAGAUUAUCCAACUGUUAUCAGCCAUCUGAACAUGUUGAUUAGUCAGUUCGGCUCCAUGUUUAUAUUAACAAGCCUAUGUUGCUAGUGCAUGCAAAAUACCAUUAUGAAUGUAUGCACUUUAGAGAAAAGUUUUGAAUAUCAUACCGUACUAGUGUACUGAGCCAUGCUUGGUAUGGUACAAUAUGGCAUAUCGAGCGAUAUGCCUAAACAUAGCGAAACCAAAGUAUAAAAUCUCUCGAUAAAUUAUACAACACAUAAACAUAUUAAAGGCAGGAAAACAUUACCGAAUAGUACUGGUGCCAUAGUUUAAAAUCUCAUUUUGACGACCCUAAACACACUAAUAGAAGCAAAAGCCCAUAGGAGCAGCAUUCAUCAAGCUUUAGCCAUCCGAUCCGAGCAUAAACCCCAAUGAAAACCCUAAAAAAUCUAAAAUAGCAAAGCAAAAUCAGUCUUUACGCAAAUAAACGAAUCAAAGAACAACCGAACAAGCAGAUCAGGUUAGAGAAGGCCGAAAUCAAAGCGAAAACCGAUCGAGAAACAAUGAAUGAACUCCCCAAGCAGUGGAAGGAUAUAGUCAGCAGAAGGAGCGGGGGCCAUGACCGCCAUGGUCGAAUAUGGAGGUGGUGGAGCUGAAGUAGUGGGCGAUUCCGGAAACGAUCGGAUGGCCCAAACCCCAGAGAGGAUGGCUGGGGGGAGGAGAACCCUAGAAGAGAGAGGAGGAAGAGGGCGCGCCACGGGAGCAAGGGAGAGAGGGUUUUGGUCUUAAUGAGAAGUCAAUAAAAUAGCACCCCUGCUCUGCCUUCGCCACGAGACCCUAAUUCUAACUCGAUACGAGGCCAAAUGGUUGAUAUCGCCUGAUAGCGUGCGGUCCGCGUACCGAUCUACUAGCGAACCAGUACAUACUGCCGGCACCAGGCGAUACGGUAUUGCAAACGUUGCCCUAGAGAAUAACAACUUUUAUAUUGUUACUGCAUUUUCUGAGUUCAAACUAACUAGAUUUAUGGUUAAUGGCGAUAUUGAUUAGAGUUUUUAAUUUUGAAUAAUACCACCCGGUACGGGCGGUACGUACUGGUCUGACAGCAUACCAAUACGCAGACCACCCACUAUCGGGCGAAAUGCUCAAUAUCAUCCUGUAUCGGAUGAUACCAGGGUAUAUCGGACGGAUGGUAACGAUUGAAAUUUCAACCGUUAUCGCUCGACAUAGCUCGGUAACAGUCGAUUUCGAUCGUUACCGCUUGGCACAACUCAGUAAUGGUCGAUUUCGAUCGUUACCGAUCUGUAACAGUGCUCCAACGGUCAAAAUGAUCAUUGGAGCCCUUUCUCAUGGGUUUUUAAACUCAUCUUCUCCCUGAUUUUACUCUAUUUCAUUCUUAUACUCUCUUAAACUAUCUCAAACUCAUUUUUUCUCUCAUUUACACUCUCCUAAACUCUACAAAGCAACGAUUUGUGAAUUGAUAAUUAAAAUAAUUUUUCUGUAGAUAUUUCAAUAUUUGCAAAAGAGCAAUCCGUAACGAACCGAAAUACAAACCUUGCAUAAGGCUAUUCCUCGAAGUCUAAAAAAGAUAUAUGAUACUAUUCUUACCUAAUUUACAUUGGUUUUGCUAAACUUAUACUAUUACUAUAUUUAUUUAUAACUUAAAAACUCUAUCCUAACUUAUACUAUUACCUAAUUUAUUUUCAGGUAUUUUCGGAGGAUAUUACGCCUAAAUUAGGUGUACCGCUCAAUACGCCCUAGCGUACCGCUUGGUACACAGCACCAUACCGUACCGAGCAAAGCUCGAAACUCUGGUACGGUAUGAAAUUUCUAUCUUUAAUACUGAUAAUUGACUUUUCUCCGAGAUCAUAAAACUACUUUUCAAGCAAAUCUAUCAAUUUGGGUAAGAUUUGAUCUAUCUUUUUCUACCUUAUAGCUGUGAUGAACAGAAUCUCUAAUAUGCAUCACCAGAUUAUGGGAGUUUAUUUGUGAUGAACACCUAGAAGCAACAUUUUGUUGUUAAUGACUUCUUGUGGUAGCAUCCUCUUAUAUUUGCUUCUACCAUUAAAGUGCUUCAUGAGUAGUGCAUGUAAAUUAAGCUGUUUUCCAAAUCCUUCUGGGUUCCGGCUGUCUUUGCUAUUACUUACUCUUGUCAUGCCUUUUGUCUCAUUCACAUGUAGGAAUUGACUCGAGUUUAUGCAAUAAUAUCACAUCCUCCCUUAUGCUGGCUGUCAAAUUCAUUGACGAGUUAAUAAUGGCAUAAAUCAUGAGCCCACCUUGGUCC
rnacentral:lncRNA from 1 species